AUUGAACGCUGGCGGCAGGCCUAACACAUGCAAGUCGAGCGGAUGAGGGGAGCUUGCUCCCUGAUUUAGCGGCGGACGGGUGAGUAAUGCGUAGGAAGCUGCCCGAUAGAGGGGGAUACCAGUUGGAAACGACUGUUAAUACCGCAUAAUGUCUACGGACCAAAGUGUGGGACCUUCGGGCCACAUGCUAUCGGAUGCGCCUACGUGGGAGUAGCUAGUUGGUGAGGUUAUGGCUCACCAAGGCGACGAGCUCUAGCUGGUUUGAGAGGAUGAACAGCCACACUGGAACUGAGACACGGUCCAGACUCCUACGGGAGGCAGCAGUGGGGAAUAUUGGACAAUGGGCGCAAGCCUGAUCCAGCCAUGCCGCGUGUGUGAAGAAGGCCUUCGGGUUGUAAAGCACUUUCAGCGAGGAGGAAGGGUGGUGUGUUAAUAGCACAUCAUUUUGACGUUACUCGCAGAAGAAGCACCGGCUAACUCUGUGCCAGCCGCCGCAGUAACAC
rnacentral:rRNA from 1 species